rnacentral:rRNA from 1 species
GAAGAAAGCUGGCGGCGUGCCUAAUACAUGCAAGUUGAGCGAUGAAGAUUGGUGCUUGCACCAAUUUGAAGAGCAGCGAACGGGUGAGUAACGCGUGGGGAAUCUGCCUUUGAGCGGGGGACAACAUUUGGAAACGAAUGCUAAUACCGCAUAACAACUUUAAACAUAAGUUUUAAGUUUGAAAGAUGCAAUUGCAUCACUCAAAGAUGAUCCCGCGUUGUAUUAGCUAGUUGGUGAGGUAAAGGCUCACCAAGGCGAUGAUACAUAGCCGACCUGAGAGGGUGAUCGGCCACAUUGGGACUGAGACACGGCCCAAACUCCUACGGGAGGCAGCAGUAGGGAAUCUUCGGCAAUGGACGAAAGUCUGACCGAGCAACGCCGCGUGAGUGAAGAAGGGUUUCGGAUCGUAAAACUCUGUUGGUAGAGAAGAACGUUGGUGGGAGUGGAAAGCUCAUCAAGUGACGGUAACUACCCAGAAAGGGACGGCUAACUACGUG